GAAGUUUGCAGUGGUGCGGUGGAGUGAAGGGGAGGAUUUUGGGAAGCUCAGUGACAUAAAAACCGAUGCCAUAAGGGGGUAUGAUGAUUCCAAGGUGGACCAGGAUGGGAAUCCCUUUGCAACCUACUCAGUCGUUAUUGAAUGGCGCCAUGGGAGGAAGCAACGAGGAGGCUGGCCUCACUACAGAGGCACUGUCAUUUUUGUUAGUGCUGCUCGUUUUGAGACAAUACGUAAACUGAACUCACUGCUGAAGGAAGAAGACAAAGAGGGCCUCAGUGGCCCCUCCAAAAUAUGGGGAUGAUUCAGAUUGCUCAACUGAUCUUAAGACUGAUUCUCAGCAAGUAAAGAAGUCAAAGGCUCCCAGGAGGGCAGACCCCGCUGAACAGUUUCUUAGGCAAUACGUUCAAUCACAGCCUCUGAAAGCAGAGAACGCAAAGUUGAAGGAGAUUGUUCUUCAAGGUAUCAUUGAUUCAUAUCAAACAUUGAACCAUGAGACAAGUAAUAAACUUUUCUCUAAAUUACUGUAGGCUGGAUGGGCUGUAUUGUAAGUGAAAUGGAAAUAUGUCGUUUAGUGAGUCUUCUGAAAUAAAGAGUCCAAUCCAGACGUCUUUUAAGGGUUUUAUUCUUUGCAAAGGGUCAGACAAACAUACAGAGUGCAAACAGUCUGCAGAGUGUAAGACAAAGAGCCAGUGAAGAAACAGGUGACUUUAUACUGUAAGGGUAUUACGCAGCUAUCCAA